rnacentral:rRNA from 1 species
CCUACGGGUGGCUGCAGUAGGGAAUUUUGCGCAAUGGGCGAAAGCCUGACGCAGCAACGCCGCGUGGAGGACGAAAUCUUUCGGGAUGUAAACUCCUGUCAGCAGGGAAGACUAAACGACUGUACCUGCAGAGGAAGCAUCGGCUAACUACGUGCCAGCAGCCGCGGUAAGACGUAGGAUGCAAGCGUUGUCCGGAAUUAUUGGGCGUAAAGCGUUCGUAGGCGGUUUUUUAAGUCUGAUGUUAAAUACGGGUGCUCAACACCCGCACGGCAUUG